GAGUUUGAUCAUGGCUCAGGAUUAACGCUGGCGGCAUGCCUAAUACAUGCAAGUCGAACGGAGUAGCAAUACUUAGUGGCGAACGGGUGAGUAACACGUAUCUAAUCUACCAUUUAGUGGGGAAUAACUGUUGGAAACGACAGCUAAUACCGCAUAAUAUUGCUGGAUAAUUUCCAGUAAUGAAAGGAGCUUUCAAGCUCCGCUGAUUGAUGAGGAUGCGGCGCAUUAGCUAGUUGGUAGGGUAAUGGCCUACCAAGGCAAUGAUGCGUAGCCGAUCUGAGAGGAUGAACGGCCACAUUGGGACUGAGACACGGCCCAAACUUCUACGGAAGGCAGCAGUAGGGAAUUUUUCACAAUGGGCGAAAGCCUGAUGGAGCAAUGCCGCGUGACUGAUGAAGGUCUUCGGAUUGUAAAGGUCUGUUGUAAGGGAAGAAAUGGUAAAACAGGAAAUGGUUUUAUCUAUGACGGUACCUUACCAGAAAGCCACGGCUAACUAUGUGCCAGCAGCCGCGGUAAUACAUAGGUGGCAAGCGUUAUCCGGAUUUAUUGGGCGUAAAGGGUGCGUAGACGGUUUUGCAAGUCUGAGGUUAAAUUUAGGAGCUCAACUCCUAAUCGCCUUGGAAACUACAAGACUAGAGUAUAGGAGAGGUUAGUGGAAUUCCAUGUGUAGCGGUGGAAUGUGUAGAUAUAUGGAGGAAC
rnacentral:rRNA from 1 species